rnacentral:misc_RNA from 1 species
CUACCCUCAAGCACGGCUUGUGUGUUGGGCCGCCGUCCCCCGUUCCCGGGGGACGGGCCCGAAAGGUAGCGGCGGCACCGAGUCCGGUCCUCGAGCGUAUGGGGCUUCGUCACCCGCUCCGUAGGCCCGGCCGGUCGCCUGCCGAUGACCAUCUUCCUUCUCCA